rnacentral:rRNA from 1 species
AGCAGCCGCGGUAAUUCCAGCUCCAAUAGCGUAUAUUAAAGUUGUUGCAGUUAAAAAGCUCGUAGUUGAAUUUCGGGAUCGAUACGUCGGUCGUGCCUUCGGUACGCACUGGCGUUUAUCGAUUUCUCCCUUCUGACGAUCCAUGAUGUCAUUAAUUUGGUGUUAUGGGGAAUCAGGACUGUUACUUUGAAAAAAUUAGAGUGUUUAAAGCAGGCAUUAGCUUGAAUACAUUAGCAUGGAAUAAUGAAAUAGGACGUUCGAACCUAUUUUGUUGGUUUCUAGGAUCGACGUAAUGAUUAAUAGGGAUAGUUGGGGGCAUUAGUAUUCAAUUGUCAGAGGUGAAAUUCUUGGAUUUAUUGAAGACUAACUACUGCGAAAGCAUUUGCCAAGGAUGUUUUCAUUAAUCAAGAACGAAAGUUAGGGGAUCGAAGACGAUCAGAUACCGUCGUAGUCUUAACCAUAAACUAUGCCGACUAGGGAUCGGAUGAUGUUAAUUUUUUAAUGACUCAUUCGGCGCCUUACG